rfam:Kwoniella heveanensis BCC8398 unplaced genomic scaffold supercont1.30, whole genome shotgun sequence.
GGGAGGAUACCAAAGUGGUCUAAUGGGCCGGCCUCAAGCCUUAACAGCUUGUCUAGAAGUAGAUGUUCUCCGGUGCUUCGGCGCGUGGGUUCGAAUCCCACUUCUCUCA